rnacentral:tRNA from 1 species
AUUUAGAUAGUUUAAGUAAAAAUAUAGAUCUGUGGCUUCUAAGACAUCAUUGGUUCUAAAUU